GGAGAACGCCCGCCACAGGCCUAACACAUGCAAGUCCGAGGGGCAGCAUGGUCCUAGCUUCGCUAAGGCCGAAUGGCGACCGGCGCACGGGUCGAGUAACACGUAUCCAACCUGCCGUCUACUCUUGGACAGCCUUCUGAAAGGAAGAUUAAUACAAGAUGGCAUCAUGAGUCCGCAUGUUCACAUGAUUAAAGGUAUUCCGGUAGACGAUGGGGAUGCGUUUCCAUUAGAUAGUAGGCGGGGUAACGGCCCACCUAGUCUUCGAUGGAUAGGGGUUUCUGAGAGGAAGGUCCCCCACAUUGGAACUGAGACACGGUCCAAACUCCUACGGGAGGCAGCAGUGAGGAAUAUUGGUCAAUGGGCGAGAGCCUGAACCAGCCAAGUAGCGUGAAGGAUGACUGCCCUAUGGGUUUGUAAACUUCUUUUAUAAAGGAAUAAAGUCGGGUAUGGAUACCCGUUUGCAUGUACUUUAUGAAUAAGGAUUCGGCUAACUCCGUGCCAGCAGCCGCGGUAAUACGGAGGAUUCCGAGCGUUAUCCGGAUUUAUUGGGUUUAAAGGGAGCGUAGAUGGAUGUUUAAGUCAGUUGUGAAAGUUUGCGGCUCAACCGUAAAAUUGCAGUUGAUACUGGAUAUCUUGAGUGCAGUUGAGGCAGGCGGAAUUCGUGGUGUAGCGGUGAAAUGCUUAGAUAUCACGAAGAACUCCGAUUGCGAAGGCAGCCUGCUAAGCUGCAACUGACAUUGAGGCUCGAAAGUGUGGGUAUCAAACAGGAUUAGAUACCCUGGUAGUCCACACGGUAAACGAUGAAUACUCGCUGUUUGCGAUAUACUGCAAGCGGCCAAGCGAAAGCGUUAAGUAUUCCACCUGGGGAGUACGCCGGCAACGGUGAAACUCAAAGGAAUUGACGGGGGCCCGCACAAGCGGAGGAACAUGUGGUUUAAUUCGAUGAUACGCGAGGAACCUUACCCGGGCUUAAAUUGCAGAUGAAUUACGGUGAAAGCCGUAAGCCGCAAGGCAUCUGUGAAGGUGCUGCAUGGUUGUCGUCAGCUCGUGCCGUGAGGUGUCGGCUUAAGUGCCAUAACGAGCGCAACCCUUGUUGUCAGUUACUAACAGGUUCCGCUGAGGACUCUGACAAGGCUGCCAUCGUAAGAUGUGAGGAAGGUGGGGAUGACGUCAAAUCAGCACGGCCCUUACGUCCGGGGCUACACACGUGUUACAAUGGGGGGUACAGAGGGCCGCUACCACGCGAGUGGAUGCCGAUCCCCAAAAACCUCUCUCAGUUCGGACUGGAGUCUGCGAACCCGACUCCACGAAAGCUGGAUUCGCUAGUAAUCGCGCUUCAGCCACGGCGCGGUGAAAUACGUUUCCCGGGCC
rnacentral:rRNA from 1 species